UGGGGAAUAUUGGGCAAUGGGCGCAAGCCUGACCCAGCAAUUCCGCGUGGGUGAAGAAGGUCUUCGGAUCGUAAAGCCCUUUCGGCGGGGACGAUGGUGACGGUACCCGCAGAAGAAGCCCCGGCCAACUUCGUGCCAGCAGCCGCGGUAAUACGAAGGGGGCUAGCGUUGCUCGGAAUCAUUGGGCGUAAAGGGCGCGUAGGCGGCGCUGUUAGUCAGGCGUGAAAUGCCCAGGCUCAACCUGGGGACUGCGCUUGAUACGGCAGGGCUCGAGGAUGGAAGAGGGCCGCGGAAUUCCCAGUGUAGAGGUGAAAUCCGUAGAUAUUGGGAAGAACACCGGCGGCGAAGGCGGCGGCCUGGUCCAUUUCUGACGCUGAGGCGCGACAGCGUGGGGAGCAAACAG
rnacentral:rRNA from 1 species